CAAUUCGACGCAACGCGAAGAACCUUACCAGCCCUUGACAUGUCCCGUAUGGGUUUCAGAGAUGAGACCCUUCAGUUCGGCUGGCGGGAACACAGGUGCUGCAUGGCUGUCGUCAGCUCGUGUCGUGAGAUGUUGGGUUAAGUCCCGCAACGAGCGCAACCCUCGCCCUUAGUUGCCAUCAUUUAGUUGGGCACUCUAAGGGGACUGCCGGUGAUAAGCCGCGAGGAAGGUGGGGAUGACGUCAAGUCCUCAUGGCCCUUACAGGCUGGGCUACACACGUGCUACAAUGGCGGUGACAAUGGGAGGCAAUGGAGCGAUCCUGCGCAAAUCUCAAAAAGCCGUCUCAGUUCGGAUUGCACUCUGCAACUCGAGUGCAUGAAGUUGGAAUCGCUAGUAAUCGUGGAUCAGCAUGCCACGGUGAAUACGUUCCCGGGCCUUGUACACUCCGCC
rnacentral:rRNA from 1 species